GACGUCUGCAGUUUGUUGCUAAAUUUAUUGGGGUCCAAGGAGGGUAGCCUGUCCAGGAGCUCACCGCCGGCUGGAAGAGGCGCUGGCCCAAGCCAGUGAGCCCAGUCCAGGAAGCGGAGAGCUGCAGGGGUCCCACAAGCCCAGCAGGGGGGCUACCUAAGCACUGGAGGUGGUUGAGGACCCCCCUCCAUCUCCACCGUAUGCACUUGGGAACCUGCCGCAAGAAAUCCCUGCGCGUCACAAUGGGCGCGGUACAGUCACAUUAAAUUCAUGGAGGAGAAAGUCUGGGAAAUAGAAAGAAUGCCCUCCUGGAGGAGAUAAAUUCCCUCAGAUCCCAACAAAAAAUCCAAGCGCAAAAGUUGUUUGAUGAAGGUAAAGAACUUGUGUCAAGAGCAGUCACCCUGAAGGCCUCAGCAGACAGUCUGCAAUUCUUCAGCUUACCUCCUGCCUCCACUUCUCAUUAAAAUACGUGAGAAGAAGAAAAGCUUCCCUUCUCAUCUUGGAGAUGGCCUGGUACCCUCAGCUAGGUCAUGGUGUUCUGCUGAUGGACAUAAACAAUUUCAGAGAACAUCAACUUCAGACAAGGCUACUAAAUGACCAUGGUGUACAAAACCCCAAACCAAUCCACUCUGUUAACAUGUCUGAACAUGGAUAAAACAUGGACAUUGUCCAAGCUACAAAAUGUCAGCCACCCCAUCUCCCAGCCAUUCUUUUCUAACAGCCUAGAGGAAAGUCAGAAGAAAGCAUUUCUAGAACAAGAGAAAUGUCUUCAGAGAGUCAACUGGAUAUACUCCUAAUAUUAUGAGAUGGAAGAACUGGGUGUAGAGAAAUCCAACACUCUUGACUGGAAUUCCUGGACCCAAUAGCUAUGGGGCAUCUCAGGACUCUACUGAUGUUGUGCAGCUAAAGAGACUUCAUGGUUCCCAUCUGACUCAGAUCUCUGUCUUGUGUUCUUCCUCCAUAACUUGGAAUAUCUUCAUUCCAAGGCUUCUCGAUCUUUAAUUGCCACUAUAUUUUCCAAAAAUUUUAAUUGAGAUGCAAUUUGCAUACCAUUUUAAGUGAACAUUUGAGUGGUUGUCAGGAUACUUUGAAGAAUGUUCAGUCAUCACCACUGUGUAAUUGCAGAACAUUGUCAUCAAAUGAAUCACUGUACCCACUGGCAGUAAUUCCGUAUGUCACUUUCCCUUCUGCUACUGCAUUCACUAAUUUACUUUCCAUCUCUCUGGAUUUACCUAUACUGGGCAUUUCAUAUAAAGGAAAUCAUGUAAUAACUGCCUUUCAUGAUUAGCUUCUUGCAAUUUAUAUAAUGUUUUCAAGGUUCAUGCAUGGAUUAAUCAGCACUUCAUUCCUUUUUAUGACUAAAUAAUUUUCAUUGUGUGGAUGUGACAUAUUUUGUUUAUUCAAUCAUCAGUAUAUGGAGAUUUGGAUUGUUUCCACUUUGGGACUAUUAUGAAUAAUGCUGCUAGGAACAUUCAUGUACACACUUUUGUGUGAUCAUCUGUUUUCAAUUAUUAUGGAUGUGGUGGUUUGAAGCUAUGCACCCCAUUAAAAUAUGUUCUUAAACUUAAUCCAUACCUGUGUGUGUGAACCCAUUGUAAAUAGGACCUCUUACUUCAGUGAGGGUGUGAUCCAACCCAAUUAGGAUGAGUCUCAAUCCUAUUACUGGAGUCCUUUAUAAACAGAAUGGUAUUCAGACAGAUAGAAAGUCACAGCAGGAACAGCCAGAAGGUGAAUAUCAACAGAACCCGAAAGAGAAGGGAAAAGCCAGGCUAGGCUGCCAUGUGCCAUGGAAGAGAGGAGCCCAGGACCAAAGAUCACUGGCCCAGCCAGCUCCAGAAAAAACCAACCUUUGAGGAGAAAGCAGCACCUUGAUGAUGCCUUGAUUUGGACUUCUCCUAGUUUCAAAAUCAUGAGCCAAUAAAUUCCCAUUAUUUAAGCAAACCCAUUGCAUGACAUUUUCUCAGGCAGCCUAGGAAACAAAAACAAUGUGUAUAAAACUAGAAGUGGAAUUUCUGGAUCACAUGGUAAUUCUUUGCUUAACUUUUGAGGGUCUGACAAACUGUUUUCCACAGUGGUUGCACAUUUUUACAUUUCCACUAGUAGUGUAGGAGGUUCCAAUUUCUACACGUCUUGGCCAACACUUGUCAAUACCCAUCUUUUUUAUUAUAGUGCGUGAACUGGUAUCUUGUGGUUUUGAUUUGCAUUUCCCUGAUGAUCAGUGGUUUCUGAGCAUCUUUUCAUGUCUUUA